rnacentral:rRNA from 1 species
GAUGAACGCUGGCGGCGUGCUUAACACAUGCAAGUCGAACGGAAAGGCCGAAGCUUGCUUCGGUACUCGAGUGGCGAACGGGUGAGUAACACGUGGGUGAUCUGCCCUGUACUUCGGGAUAAGCUUGGGAAACUGGGUCUAAUACCGGAUAUGACGAUCUCUUGGAUGGGGUUGUGGAAAGCUUUUGCGGUAUGGGAUGAGCUCGCGGCCUAUCAGCUUGUUGGCGGGGUAAUGGCCUACCAAGGCGUCGACGGGUAGCCGGCCUGAGAGGGUGUACGGCCACAUUGGGACUGAGAUACGGCCCAGACUCCUACGGGAGGCAGCAGUGGGGAAUAUUGCACAAUGGGCGCAAGCCUGAUGCAGCGACGCCGCGUGGGGGAUGACGGCCUUCGGGUUGUAAACUCCUUUCGCAAUCGACGAAGCCUUUUGGUGACGGUAGGUUGAGAAGAAGCACCGGCUAACUACGUG